GACGAAGGGGGCUAGCGUUGUUCGGAAUUACUGGGCGUAAAGCGCGUGUAGGCGGUUAUCCAAGUUGGAUGUGAAAGCCUUGAGCUUAACUCAAGAAAUGCAUUCAGGACUGGGUGACUAGAGGACCGGAGAGGAUAGUGGAAUUCCCAGUGUAGUGGUGAAAUACGUAGAGAUUGGGAAGAACACCAGUGGCGAAGGCGGCUAUCUGGACGGUUUCUGACGCUAAGACGCGAAAGCGUGGGGAGCAAACAGG
rnacentral:rRNA from 1 species